rnacentral:rRNA from 1 species
GCCCCUUCGGGGGUACACGAGGGCGAACGGGUGAGUAACACGUGAGCAACCUACCCUCAACUUUGGGAUAAGCCCCGGAAACGGGGUCUAAUACCGGAUAAUACUGGCUGCCUCAUGGUGGUUGGUUGAAAGUUCUGGCGGUUGGGGAUGGGCUCGCGGCCUAUCAGCUUGUUGGUGGGGUAAUGGCCUACCAAGGCGUCGACGGGUAGCCGGCCUGAGAGGGCGACCGGCCACACUGGGACUGAGACACGGCCCAGACUCCUACGGGAGGCAGCAGUGGGGAAUAUUGCGCAAUGGACGAAAGUCUGACGCAGCAACGCCGCGUGAGGGAUGACGGCCUUCGGGUUGUAAACCUCUUUCAGCAGGGACGAAGCGAGAGUGACGGUACCUGCAGAAGAAGGACCGGCCAACUACGUGCCAGCAGCCGCGGUAAUACGUAGGGUCCGAGCGUUGUCCGGAAUUAUUGGGCGUAAAGGGCUCGUAAGCGGUUCGUCACGUCGGGAGUG